CUGGUUAUAUUUCAAUCACAUUUGAUCUUUUUCAUUUUGACAAAGAGGAUCAUUAAAAAAACACAUUUUGCUGUAAUGUGAUUUUCUGAAUUGCAAGGCUGAGAUGUUCCCUUAAAUAAAAGAUGCCCUUAUUAAGCAGGACCAGGGAUGUUCUACAGUAAUAGUAUCAACCCGUGGCCACCCCUCUCUGCUGCGUGGAAUGGUCCAGCCCUGAUUUGCAUAAGUUGUCUGUGGGUAGCUGCAUGACCAGCAGGGGUAGGUUAGGGGAAGGAGUGCAUGUGGACUAUAUACACAUGAGUAGAGACACAGAGAGAGGAUCUGACUGUGGACUGUAUUGUGAGCCUGGAGUCUUGCACUGAACCAGACAGAGUUAUGUACCGAGCUCAUCCUGUCUCUGGCACAGGCAACAACUCAUUGAUGUAUUGCUACAACAUGAAACCAGUUUAUGGGCAGUCUCCCACCAAUGACGACAUCAACCAGAACUCAUCUUCACAUCCAUCUACCAAAGCCCCCAGCAAUGUGUUCGCCAGCACGUUCUUUGAGGGGACGAACAAUUCGCCCGACAUCUGGAACGCGGUAAAUGGGCUGAACCAGCAGGGCUAUGAAGGUGCACUGGGAGCAGCCACAACCCUCCAAACACAGCCGGGGUCCUACAGCAACCUGCAGCCACACAGUCACCUGAACUACUCGCCACAUUCUGUGAUGGCUGCAGACAUGAACAGGGGACUCCCACCCAUGUCCUCUUUCCACCGCAACAAUACGGCGGCACGCACGCCAUCCAUCAACACCUCAGAGAGCUCCACAGUCUCAGGAAGUCAUGGAAAUGUUUCAGGAGGGUCCCAGACCGGCGACACCUUGGGCAAAGCUCUGGCUUCUAUUUAUUCCCCUGAUCACACCAGCAGCAGCUUCCCCUCCAGCUCGUCCACCCCGGUCAGGUCUCCGUCCCCGAUGGCAAACGCGGCUGAACCUGCAGGUGAACUGGGCUGUGGGUCAAAACACAUGUAUACUUUUAUACGUCUCAAUCAGUCCCCUCAUGGUUUCUUUUUUUUUUUCCUCUCAGGUACAAACACGUGGCCUCAGAAUUCAGUCCAGGCUCCAGUUUCACCACAUUAUGAGUCUUCACUUAUAUCACUGUCUCAGGUGGAAGACCGUCUGGACCGUCUGGACGAUGUGAUCCACGUCCUCAGGAACCAUGCGGUGGGCCCCACGGCUGCCCUGCCCACAGACAUCCACGGCCUGUUGAACCAGACCCACCACGGCCACCCCGGCUCAGCCAGCACUCUGCCGCUCACCUGUCACACUCCAACCAUGGUUGAUGCUGUCACUAUGAACCAUAACCAGUCAGCCUUCCAGAGCCACACACAAAAUGGACACCCGUACCCGGCCAGACAGAGGCUAAUACUGCAACACAUGCAGGGAGGAAACAGAGGUGGAAUGGGAGUCCAAGGUAAUCUGGACCUGAAGGUGGAAGGAGGAGAAAGGGAGGACAUGAUGCACACGAAUCACAGCCACAGCUCAGACAGCCAGAGAUCAGACGAGGAGAGCGAACACAAAACUCCAGGGGAGAACAGCGCACAGAACAGUAUCCAUGAGGAUGAGGACCUGAGUCCGGAGCAGAAAGCCGAACGUGAGCGAGACAGGAGGAUGGCCAACAACGCUCGUGAACGUCUGCGUGUGCGGGACAUCAACGAGGCCUUCAAGGAGCUGGGUCACAUGUGUCAGCUGCACCUGAAGAGUGAGAAGCCGCAGACCAAACUGCUGGUGCUGCAUCAGGCUGUGGCUGUGAUACUGAGCCUGGAACAGCAAGUCAGAGAGAGGAACCUGAACCCGAAGGCAGCAUGUCUGCGGAGGAGAGAGGAAGAGAAGGCGUCUGCGGUCAUGACGGAUCCACAGUCCAUGCAUCUGGCCUUUCAUCCUGGUCUGACAGACCCAGGGAACCCCAUGGGCCACAUCUGAGCAUCUGCUGAGAUGUUGAAUGAGCAUCAUCUGAGGAGCAUCCGACUGUUUCUGAUGUCCAGCGUUUCCUCUGAUUCGGACCACAGCAGAGACUCAGACUUCUCUGUUUGCAAAGUGGGAUGCAGUUGAACAAUCAUCCCCUGACUUCCCAAAUGGACUUUGAACAUUGUGCCUAAACGUACUCGUUACAGACAAAUGCAUUGUAAGCUGCAAAUGUUUUGUACAUGUUUUGUAUAUUUACUGUUUAUAUUUCUGUUUGAGUAUAUCUGAAGGGACCCAUUAGAUAACAGGUGCCGUCUGCAGUUGGAUUUCGGAUGAGACCAAUGUAUUUCUGACUGGUUUUUACAGUGUAUCUGAGCUCAGAGGACUCAUAUUCCCACAUUUGUGUGUUCAGAAAACAAAUUUGAUUUGUCCAGUGGUGUGUGUGUGUGUGUGUGUUUAUGUGUGUGUGAGUAUUUGCAGGAGUUUGACCAUUCUGUGAAUGAACAGAUCUCCAAGAAUGUUCUUUAUUGUGUGAGAAUCAUAUAUAUUAAGUUCUGUCAUUUGUAUAUUUGUGUUAUAGCAUUGUUGGUUAACAAGAUUACACUUAAUGAAACUGAGUCUCUUCUUCUCAGUGUAAUUAUGGCUCUUCAGAUGUAGUCGAAACUCUCUGAUGGCUCUUUGAGUUUUAAUAGAACAUUGCAUUUUUUUUCUAAAUUAUGUAAGUUAUCUUUUAUACAAAUAUUGUGGAUUCAAUAAUGUCUGUAUUUGAUUUUCUCACUAUGAUUUUACACAGAAGACAUUUUUGUGCAGUUGUACUAGACGUAGCCACGUUUCAUGCUCUGAGCAAUAUUCAGAAUAAGUAAUGUCUUGUUUGCGUAUCACACUGCUGAACAAAAACUAAGUAAUCAAAAAUAAUCUGAAAUACUCCUAUCAUAACAUGUACAGUAUGUGUACAGUUUGAAGUAGCCCACAGGCAUGUGUCAAAAAUAAUAAUGUAGCAAUAAAUGUCUUUUUACAAAUAA